GACUAUUAUGAGUUCUGUCCAUCAUUGGUGGUACUGUAGGUAAAAUGACUGCAAUUACAUGAUGCUUAUUAAAUGCUGUCCCCAAGAACACUUUUUUCAUUUUCU